AGUGAACGCUGGCGGCGUGCUUAACACAUGCAAGUCGAACGAGAACGGAUUAUAGCUUGCUAUAAUUGUCAGCUAAGUGGCGCACGGGUGAGUAAUGUAUAGGUAAUAUGCCUUUUACUAAGGAAUAACAAAUGGAAACGUUUGCUAAUACCUUAUACUCCUUAUUAACCUAAGUUAAUAAGGGAAAGAUUUAUUGGUAAGAGAUUAGCCUGUAUUGUAUCAGUUAGUUGGUGGGGUAAUGGCUUACCAAGACUAUGACACAUAACUGGUUUGAGAUGAUGAUCAGUCAAACUGGAACUGAGACACGGUCCAGACUCCUACGGGAGGCAGCAGUGGGGAAUAUUGCACAAUGGACGAAAGUCUGAUGCAGCAACGCCGCGUGGAGGAUGACACAUUUCGGUGCGUAAGCUCCUUUUAUAUGAGAAGAUAAUGACGGUAUUAUAUGAAUAAGCACCGGCUAACUCCGUGCCAGCAGCCGCCGUAA
rnacentral:rRNA from 1 species